AAAUUGAAGAGUUUGAUCAUGGCUCAGAUUGAACGCUGGCGGCAGGCCUAACACAUGCAAGUCGAACGGUAGCACAGAGGAGCUUGCUCCUUGGGUGACGAGUGGCGGACGGGUGAGUAA
rnacentral:rRNA from 1 species